AUUGAACGCUGGCGGCAUGCUUUACGCAUGCAAGUCGAACGGUAACAGGCCGCAAGGUGCUGACGAGUGGCGAACGGGUGAGUAAUGCAUCGGAACGUGCCCAGUCGUGGGGGAUAACUACUCGAAAGAGUAGCUAAUACCGCAUACGAUCUAUGGAUGAAAGCGGGGGACCGUAAGGCCUCGCGCGAUUGGAGCGGCCGAUGUCAGAUUAGGUAGUUAGUGGGGUAAAGGCUCACCAAGCCAACGAUCUGUAGCUGGUCUGAGAGGACGACCAGCCACACUGGGACUGAGACACGGCCCAGACUCCUACGGGAGGCAGCAGUGGGGAAUUUUGGACAAUGGGCGCAAGCCUGAUCCAGCAAUGCCGCGUGCAGGAAGAAGGCCUUCGGGUUGUAAACUGCUUUUGUACGGAACGAAACGGCUCUGGUUAAUACCCGGGGCUAAUGACGGUACCGUAAGAAUAAGCACCGGCUAACUACGUG
rnacentral:rRNA from 1 species